rnacentral:rRNA from 1 species
CCUACGGGUGGCAGCAGUGAGGAAUAUUGGUCAAUGGCCGGAAGGCUGAACCAGCCAUGCCGCGUGAAGGUCAGUGCCCUAUGGGCGUUAAACUUCUUUUGUGCGGGAGCAAUAAUGGUCACGUGUGCCCAGACGAGAGUACCGUACGAAUAAGCAUCGGCUAACUCCGUGCCAGCAGCCGCGGUAAUACGGGGGACGCAAGCGUUAUCCGGAUUUUUUGGGUUUAAAGGGUGCGUAAGCUGUGAGGUAAGUCAGCGGUGAAAUGCCCCCGCUCAACGGGGUGAAGUGCCAUUGAUACUGCCUUGCUGGAGUGCGGAUGCGGUGGGAGGAAUGUGUGGUGUAGCGGUGAAAUGCAUAGAGAUCACACAGAACACCGAUUGCGAAGGCAUCUCACGAAUCCGCGAUUGACGCUGAUGCACGAAAGCGUGGGGAUCAAACAGGAUUAGAUACCCUUGUAGUC